rnacentral:rRNA from 1 species
UACGGGGGGAGCAAGCGUUGUUCGGAUUUACUGGGCGUAAAGGGCGCGUAGGCGGCGUAACAAGUCACUUGUGAAAUCUCCGGGCUUAACCCGGAGCGGCCAAGUGAUACUGUUGUGCUAGAGUGCGGAAGGGGCUACUGGAAUUCUCGGUGUAGCGGUGAAAUGCGUAGAUAUCUGGAGGAACACCGGUGGCGAAGGCGGCAUCCUGGACCGAUACUGACACUGAGGAGCGAAAGCCAGGGGAGCAAACGGG